rnacentral:rRNA from 1 species
CAGCAGCCGCGGGAAUACGUAGGUGGCAAGCGUUGUCCGGAAUUAUUGGGCGUAAAGGGCUCGCAGGCGGUUUCUUAAGUCUGAUGUGAAAGCCCCCGGCUCAACCGGGGAGGGUCAUUGGAAACUGGGAAACUUGAGUGCAGAAGAGGAGAGUGGAAUUCCACGUGUAGCGGUGAAAUGCGUAGAGAUGUGGAGGAACACCAGUGGCGAAGGCGACUCUCUGGUCUGCAACUGACGCUGAGGAGCGAAAGCGUGGGGAGCGGACAGGAUUAGAUACCCGUGUAGUCCCUGUCUCUUAUAA